UAGUUACUUUAUAUAAUCAUAUUACAGCUUACAAAGGUGCCAUAAACCUCAAGGGUCCUCAACUUGCACUUAUUCAAGGAAAAGACAUUCGGUUUAACAAUCUUUGUGUUUCAAAUAGGCGGAAGGAGGAAGACGGAGCGAGGUUUGGUGGAUUCGAGAGUGAGGUGAAGAAACUGAUUGAGGUAUUAUUUAACAAUAACAUCGCAAAUUAAACCCUAAUUCGAGUUCGAUCUUUGUGUUUUUUUAAAAAAAAAUUCUGGAAAAUUUUCCUGUGCAAUAUCUUGUGGAAUUUCUGAUCUAUUUUGUGAUUUGUGUGUUGUUGUUGUUGAUAUUUGUUUGUAUCUUGUGGAAUUGAUGGAAUUUUAAUUUAAUUGAUUGAGUGAAUGAGAGGUGGAUUGAGAAACGACAAUUGAAGAAAUUUGGGCGUUAAAAUACUUCAAUUUUCGCCAAAAAUCGCCCAAAUUUAUAAAUUUAUUGGUGAGAGUUUUGAGUGGCUAUUUUACAAGUUGAUGAAGACGUUUGUUGUUCAAGAAUUUUAGGUAUUGCUUAAAGUAGGGUUUUAUUUUGCGCUAUUAUUGUUAAAUUCAGUUUAGAAUUUUGUUUAAAUUGUGUUCUUUUGUUGAAUCUACUGGUAAAAAUGGCCACGGAAGUUGAUAUUUGUUUGCGUUUUUCACUUCUACGCUUUCUCCAACCCUCCAUUGAAGCAACUUUUGAACCUUCCUCUUCAUUGAAGCAACUUGAGAGGUAAUUUGUUGAUUCUCCGGUGGCGUUUUCUCCGAUCUCCAGGAUUCAACUGUCUGAUCUUCAUUUCAGUGUUCAUCACCCAAACAGAGCUCUUGAUUUCAAGAAAAUGGUGGGCCCUUAUCCUUCCGGUCAUCAACCCUUCUCUUUAUCUUACCACUGGCGAUCUCACAGCUUCAGUGCCAUACCUUGAAUUUUUUUAACGAUGACAAUAAAUGGAGGGAAGGUAUGCCAUUUGAGGAGCAACUUGAGGCCUUGCAAGAAGUUAUUGAUGAAGGAAAGGCAAGAUACAUUGGUUUCUCAAAUGAAAGUUCUUAGGGCAUUAUGGAGUUUGUCCAUGCAGCAAAAGUUGGAGGAAUUCCAAAGAUCAUGAGCAUUCAGAACUGCUACAAUCUACUCACCCGAUGUUGGUUUGAAGGAAUUUGUCAUGAAUUUACAACCUUCUGAAGCUGAAGCAAGUAUUGACAUCCAGGUUCCACCUACAACUAAUCAGAAAUCACUUGAAAGGAAUAUUGCCGAGGAUUGGGCUCCUUCUUCUUGCAACAUGACAUUUGAGGUUGUUAACUACAGGGAAUGGUCGUUGAUUUCACAAUACAGGGCAUCUAAGGAGUCAGUCUCCUAAGGUCAAAAUGAUUUGACAAUUUUGUGUCUAAGAUGAAGGUAUCAUGAGAUACGUUUGCGGAAGAUGUUACUUGUGUAAAUGUUGUCUUAAGCCUAAGCAGUUCUAAAAUGGGUCAUUAUAGGCUCUGCUUGAUUUCUAUGUCAGUUAUGGGAAAAGAAAGCCUGAACAUAUUAUCGUAUUUAGGCUUGUAAAAACCUGGAUGAGAAGUGAACCCAAAGAUUGUGGUGAUUGUGGCUCAGAAGAAUCACCAUACCAAGUUUUUCCGGCCUAAUGGUCUUGAGAAUGUCCCUCAUUUAAGAAAUACAAAAGAUGCUACAUGUUUGGCUUUGCUGGUUCUAUUCCAACACUUUAAUAAAAAUAACUGGUUGUUGGCUUUGUGGGUUAGUUUGAUGUAACUUCUAAAUUACUACUCAAUAAAUGUAAUUUUAAUUUUUACAUCA